GACGAACGCUGGCGGCGUGCUUAACACAUGCAAGUCGAACGGAAAGGCCCUGCUUUUGUGGGGUGCUCGAGUGGCGAACGGGUGAGUAACACGUGAGUAACCUGCCCUUGACUUUGGGAUAACUUCAGGAAACUGGGGCUAAUACCGGAUAGGAGCUCCUGCUGCAUGGUGGGGGUUGGAAAGUUUCGGCGGUUGGGGAUGGACUCGCGGCUUAUCAGCUUGUUGGUGGGGUAGUGGCUUACCAAGGCUUCGACGGGUAGCCGGCCUGAAAGGGUGACCGGCCACAUUGGGACUGAGAUACGGCCCAGACUCCUACGGGAGGCAGCAGUGGGGAAUAUUGCACAAUGGGCGGAAGCCUGAUGCAGCAACGCCGCGUGCGGGAUGACGGCCUUCGGGUUGUAAACCGCUUUCGCCUGUGACGAAGCGUGAGUGACGGUAAUGGGUAAAGAAGCACCGGCUAACUACGUG
rnacentral:rRNA from 1 species